GUUUUGACAGACGAGACGAACACAGUCCUGUCAGCUUAAUACAGUUGAUCAAAAGUCAAAAACAGUUCUAGACAUUCAAUCAUCUGAGUCAUCAAAAAAUUCUGAUGUUAUUCAAUUAUUGAAAAAUAUUGAUGAAAAAAAUGAUGAUAAGCAGAAGAAAAAAGUAAGUGAAGAAUUCCACAAAAAAAUGAAGAUUUAUAUUUUAUUUUGGAACAAAAUCUUGUAAAAGGAUCGAAACAACUAUUUGGCGAACAUUGCGGUGAAGAAGUAAUUUAUUAUUAAAUAAAUUUUCAGUCUUCAUUUUUCUCGGGAGUUUUAAUUUAUAAUUACUGUUCUACAUGUUUGUAGAUGACCUCGUUGGGAAAAAAUAUUUAGUGCAAGAAUACAAGUUGGAAUUUGGCACUCAAAGCAAAGUCCAUUACUUCUAUCGCUCGACGUUUUCUUGAGGGAGUUUAUAAAAGAGAAGCUUUGUUAAAAUCAACACCAUCUGGUCAGUCUGGUCGUUGCCUUGGAGCACAGGCAGCUGGUAACAUAGAAAUGGAGAGUCUAUACGAGCCUGCAUUAACACAAAUAAUUGAAGCAGCUAAAGUUCUUGCUUA